AUUGAACGCUGGCGGCAUGCCUUACACAUGCAAGUCGAACGGCAGCACGGGAGCAAUCCUGGUGGCGAGUGGCGAACGGGUGAGUAAUAUAUCGGAACGUGCCCAGUCGUGGGGGAUAACGUAGCGAAAGCUACGCUAAUACCGCAUACGAUCUACGGAUGAAAGCGGGGGAUCGCAAGACCUCGCGCGAUUGGAGCGGCCGAUAUCAGAUUAGGUAGUUGGUGAGGUAAAGGCUCACCAAGCCGACGAUCUGUAGCUGGUCUGAGAGGACGACCAGCCACACUGGGACUGAGACACGGCCCAGACUCCUACGGGAGGCAGCAGUGGGGAAUUUUGGACAAUGGGCGCAAGCCUGACCCAGCAAUGCCGCGUGCAGGAUGAAGGCCUUCGGGUUGUAAACUGCUUUUGUACGGAACGAAACGGUGAGCUCUAAUACAGUUUGCUAAUGACGGUACCGUAAGAAUAAGCACCGGCUAACUACGUG
rnacentral:rRNA from 1 species